rnacentral:lncRNA from 1 species
GAGGUGCACGAGGAGAUGUUGGCGUUACUGGUGCUGUUGUAGGUUGUGGUGUUGGUUCCGCUCGCACCGGCGGUGGAGGUUUAUUGAUCGGUGUUGUUGGUGCAUUUGGUGGUGUUGGUCCUCCUCUUACUGGUGGUGGUGGUGGUGCACGUGGAGGAUUUCUUCUUGGAGGUGUAUCAGGUUCCUCGGCGUUAGCAAUAGAAAAGAGCGCGAGAGUCACAACGGCGAGACGGACGACAUUGGGUAUUGAGGUUCUCAAUGCCAUGUCUAUUCGCCGAGGUACUCCACUCUUUCC